GGGGGGAGAAGGGGGGGCUUGGGUGACACACAAGGGGCUUGAGUGACAUGGGGGGGCUUGUGUGACACGGGGGGACUGGAAUGACAAGGGGGGGACUUGUGUGACACACAGGGGGGCUUGUGAGACAGUGGGGGGACAAGGGGGGGCUCGUGUGACACGGGGGGGCCAAGCGGGCUCAUGUGACUCGUGUGACAUGGGGGGGGACAAGGUGUGACACACGAGGGACUGGUGCGAUCCUGAGCACGCAUGUCCCAGUGUCACACGUGAGUGUGCAAGGAGGGGCUCGUGUGACACUCAGGGGGUGACACGAAGGACUCUGGGACGAAGGACUUGUGCGAGGCCCGCGGGGGUGUGAGGAGGGGGGGCCUCGUGCAAGGGACUCGUGCAAAGGACUCACCCAGGACCCUCGUGUGACGCGGGGACUCGUGCAAAGGACUCGUGCAAGACCCUCGUGUGGCACGGGGAGUUGUUCGAGACCCUCGUGCAAGGGACUCAUUCAAGACCCUCGUGCAAGACCCUCGUGCAAGGGACUCUUGGAGGCCCCCGCGGGGUCCCCACCCCCCCCUUUCCGCCCCUCCCCCCUCCCUCGGGUGGUCCCGGGGGGUGUCGGGGGGUGGGGGAGGGGCCGGGGGGGUUGGGGGGAGGGGCCGGGGGGGGAUUUUUUAAAUUCGCCGCGGCCAAAACUUUCCUACUUUAAUAAAAAACCCAGCGGGCGUUUCCAGU